AGUGGCUCAGUUGGUGGAGCACCACCUUGCCAAGGUGGGGGUCGCGGGUUCGAGUCCCGUCU
rnacentral:tRNA from 1 species